rnacentral:misc_RNA from 1 species
AAGUCGUAACAAGGUUUCCGUAGGUGAACCUGCGGAAGGAUCAUUAAAAGUAAUAUGUAUUCUCACGAAUAUACAUUAUAAACCCAUCUGUGUAUCUUACCCGUUGCUUCCGCGAGGCAGUGAUCUCAAGAUCACCUCCCGACGAUGGCGAAAGCCAUCCGACGGGGAGCACUCGCGGGAGGUACGCAUCAAACCCUUGCAUUCUUAUGUCAUCUGUCUGAACUGUUUAUAACAAAUGUUAAAACUUUCAACAACGGAUCUCUUGGUUCUC